UUUACGUUAUUGACUUGAUUAUUUUAUAAAGUGAUAAUUAUUAUAGAAAUAUUUUUAUUAUUAUAGAAAACCAUUUCGAGUUUUCCCAUUAACGAGACUCAUCGUUACUGUGAACCCCUGACCCAGUAAAAUAAAAAGAAAAAGAGACAGAGAUAACUAAAUCGGAAAGCCCCUUUGUUUUCUAUUUUCCAAGCAGCAGACUCUACAACAAUUCAACUAUUCAAAGUUCCUCAUGUCAAGUUUGAAUUUUCAUUAGAAAAUGUUUAAUUCAUUUAUUAAUGCAACACGCGUAGUAAAGUUCGUACGAGGAAUAUAAAUUACAAGGGUGCGUGCGUGAUUCGUUUGUAAAAAAAAAAA